UAGGGAAUCUUCGGCAAUGGGGGCAACCCUGACCGAGCAACGCCGCGUGAGUGAGGAAGGUUUUCGGAUCGUAAAGCUCUGUUGUAAGAGAAGAACGUGUGUGAGAGUGGAAAGUUCACACAGUGACGGUAACUUACCAGAAAGGGACGGCUAACUACGUGCCAG
rnacentral:rRNA from 1 species